GAGCUCUGGGAGGGGCUGGGUUUGGCAGGACAGUAUUCGAGCCCUGUCUCCUCCCAUCUUCCAG
ensembl:miRNA